AUGAAUCCAUGUCGCAUGCCCCGCCUGCCACCUCUACUUCACGAAGGGAUUUUUCAAACACCCCAAGCCACCACAGAUUUUGUCAGGAGGUUUAUAGCUGAGCUUGAGGCGCUGGACAACAAGCAAGAACCAGCGGCAAGGGGCGGACCCUCUCGGGUCAGGCCACGAGCCCCUCCUCCGGGAUGGGUCAAAAUUCACGUCGAUGCUGGAGUCAGACCUGGGAGGGGAGGAUCAGCUGCGGCGGUUUGUUGGGAACAACAAGGCAACUAUCUGGGUAGCUCAUCGCUGGUCAUUGCAGGAGUGGACGACCCAGCGAUUCUGGAAGCGAUUGCAUGUCAUGAAGCACUAGCCCUUGCCGAAGAUCUCAAUUUGAACAACCUGAUGAUCGCCUCUGACGCGAAGCAAGUGGUUAGUGACAUCUCAAAGUCACAUAUGGGCAAAAACGCGGCAAUCAUACAAGAGAUUCGAUUUAGAGCUUCUUCUUUCAUUUGUAAUUUAAUGUUUGAAGGUCGUGCGGCUAAUAGAGACGCACAUAAACUUGCUAAGUUUUCGCUUUCGUUAGGGCCGGGGCGCCAUGUGUGGUUAGGCCAACCCCAGGUCCCAACCCUAAGUUUUCGCUUUCGUUGGUGA
rnacentral:rRNA from 1 species